GGCAUGCCCGAAUCUUGCAGUUAGUGGAUGGGAGAAGUCGGUUAGCAUGAGAAGGUGUUGGGGCACAAUGAGCACAAUGCCUGGGAAACAUUAACAUAAGUCGAGCAUAAGUCUACAGGUCAGGAGUCCUCUCCCUUGGGCAGGGUUUAUCGAGUAUGACACCCUCCCUCCCCAGCACAACAAAAAUACUAAUAUCACGGCUACUAGUGAGGAGAGGACGGCCAUCAGAUACUUUGUGAUGCUCUGAGGAAACGGGUCACCCCUAUGGCGUCUGGGCCAGUAGGAAUAUGUAACUUCAGACAGACCAUCCUGAUCCAGCAAACUCCUCAAGGUGAGGGGCAUCUUGCAUGGUUUGACUGCCUGCUUGCUUACAUGAGGUCCUGGGUUACACAGACUGGUGUCAGACUCCUAGGCUCCUGACAUCCUCCUUCUCCAGUCUUCUGGAUAGCCAGGACAAUGGGCACAUGCCUAAUCAUCAUGCCCUUUUAAAAAGUGGAGUGACUGUAAUCAAGAGUGACAAUGUCAAGAAAGGAAAACGUCUUCAGGAAUGAUUCAUUGUAAGAGAUACCCGUCUAUUGGUGCAGGCUCUCUUCGGAUCGAAGGUAGUUCUCCUUUGAACUUAGCAUGUGCUUAGAGCCAGUACACCCUGAUUUAGCUUCAUUUGCUCACUUUGGGUGACUGUUAGCCUCAUAGCUAAUACCUCUUUUGGUUUUUUUUGUCUUUGUUGCUAUUUUGUAGAUGCCUAUUUUACUCAUUUACUC
rnacentral:lncRNA from 1 species